CCAGACUCCUACGGGAGGCAGCAGUGGGGGAUAUUGCACAAUGGGGGAAACCCUGAUGCAGCGACGCCGCGUGUGGGAAGACGGUACUCUGGAUUGUAAACCACUGUCCCCAGGGACGAAGAUGACGGUACCUGGGGAGGAAGCCCCGGCUAACUACGUGCCAGCAGCCGCGGUAAUACGUAGGGGGCAAGCGUUAUCCGGAUUUACUGGGUGUAAAGGGAGCGUAGACGGCAAUGCAAGCCAGAUGUGAAAGCCCGGGGCUCAACCCCGGGACUGCAUUUGGAACUGUGUAGCUGGAGUGUCGGAGAGGCAGGCGGAAUUCCUGGUGUAGCGGUGAAAUGCGUAGAUAUCAGGAGGAACACCGGUGGCGAAGGCGGCCUGCUGGACUGCAACUGACGUUGAGGCCCGAAAGCGUGGGGAGCAAACAGGAUUAGAUACCCCCGUA
rnacentral:rRNA from 1 species